rnacentral:lncRNA from 1 species
AUCCUGAAUGAUGCAUGGUUUUAUGAUGACAUUUCUCAAUCUUUGUGUUUUCUUCUUUUUCAAUUUCCAUCUUUUCAGUCAAAGGAAAUCAUCAAGUGACCUUGAAAUCUGCACUGGCAUUUUCCUGGCAGAGAAAGAAGCUCUCUUCUCAUUUGCAAACAUGAAUAACAAUUUGAUCAUUCUUAAAACUUCUAAAAGGUUAAUUAUGCUCUCUCCAGUGAGCAGACUUCAGAAGGCUCAGUCAUGUAACGACUACGUUCGUCAUUAAUGCAAAGCAACGUGACAGGAAAAUUGGAAGAAUAUGGGAAAACCUCAAAUACUUCAAUGAGGUAAGUGCUGCAAGGCCUCAUUUGCCAGAAGCACCUGGGUCAUUGGUGUUGUAGGGACAGCUCAUUUGUCAGUGAUGUGGUUUUUGGCCCUAUCAGGAAAACAAAACCAAAGGCUGCACGGUCAAAUCAGUACAGUCAACUGAGGAAGGUGGAUUCCAUCAACUUGGGAGCAAAUGUGGGGACUGAAUUGGCAGAAAUGUCCAGAUAUUUCAUGGGAGACUCAACUGGACAGCUCGUGCCGUAAGUGAAGCUGCACUUCUCAAGAGAAAGCUUGACCUCUACCAGGUAUUUUAAACAUCAAAGGGCAAUGAUGCAUAUGGGGGACAUGAGAAGGCUAUUUUUGCGAGGAGAAUAAUAUUUUUUGAUGACUGACGCAUCUAAUAAUUCUUCCCAUUACAGAUGAACUGGUGUUGCACUGGAGUUUUCAAUUGGCUGGAUCUGGGCAGGAAGACCUCCACAGCGUACAUCCAGAAGCAGCGGUCUAGUUCCUGCACUCUACUGCUGGCUGCAGUGCCCUUGUCACCAGUGUUCCUCAGGUCUUCCAUUUAGCUGUUUGAUUGGCAGGUAGGUUGAACUGUCCUAUCUAGGCGCUCCUAGGACGCUCCUCCAGUAUUAAAUGUAGUUGAAUGGUUUUUUUUUUUUUGCAAAGAAGUUUAGAAAAGCCCCCACCACCCUUGAAGUGAUGUAACCAUACAUUCCUCGGCUUGUGAAAUCAGCAUUUAAUCUGCUUUUCCCCAGAAGGUGGGGCAGAAUUUGGAAAUAAGAGCUUAUAUUCAAAGUUUGCUGUAACAGGAGACGCAGUGCAUUCGCAAAGCCCUGUGCUUAUACACACCCACCAGGUGCAAACACAGACUUGUAUGAGCACGUUUCGACCGUUUACCAAUAUUUGCCAAUUCAGUGUUCUUAACUAUGUGCCAAUGCAAAAUCACCUUUUAUGCUGAAUUUUAAAAUGCUGAUGUACACAUUACAAAUGUUUUUAAUUUGCAUACCAUGUUUUGAAUGCAAAGUAGGAAUGGAUGAACCCCAAGAAUAUUUGUGUGUUCAUAUAGCAGAAUGAUCGUUCACUCAACUCUUCUGCCAGCGACCAACUAUUUUUUCUGACGAUGGUUUAUGUACUACUCCAUGUUUCUCAUAAAUAACUAGAUAUGUGGAAUGUAUUAAGGAUGUAAUCAGCUUGGUAUUUGGAUUACAUUUCUCUUCAGCUCCCAUUACAAUCAGUGUAAAGGUUCCCUCUGAUUUCAACGAGAGUUAGAUCAGACCUGGGGCACUAUUUUUUUAAGGCCACAUUAAGUGCUGCUGUUCAUUGACAUUGUUUCCCAGACACCAGCAAUUGUUCACUGACCCAGAUGUGAACUUGUAUUUUUUUCUAUCUCUGUUUAUAGAGACCCAUUCUCAGUCACGCUUAUCUAGCCCCGUCACAGAGACCUGUUUAACUUGCUGAGAAGUUGUGAUGGAGCAAAUUAGAAAGCCUGCAGCAAACUGUUUAUAGCUGAGUCUGUCAGAACGAGUAUUAAAAAAAAAGGCAGAGAAAUAAUAUUUACAUAGAGUAGGGACCUCUAUUUUACUCUUCCUACUUCUGGGCCAUUACUCAGCUAUAGGAAAGGAGGUUAGUACUCAGAAGUUUUUAAAAAAAAAAAAAAGUCACUAGAUGCUGAAAUAGGUGGCCGUUCUCCUCAGCCUAGUACUUCCACCUGACAAGGCAAGAUGAUAAAUUUUGCAGAGCUCCAGGUUCGUUUCCAAAUUCCUGCCCACAUUUUUGAGCAACGUUCACUCUUGCAGGACUCAGAACCCAUUUCCCCUAGCAAAGGAAUCUAAAGCGUUGUGUGAAGCUGAUAAAAAAAGGCUGGUGAAAGGCAGAAAGGAAACAGAAACGAUCAAAAGAGGGGUAUUCCUAUCUGCAGAACACAGCCUGCUUCUGAUGUGAUGGUGAUGAUGAUAAUUUGUGAAUACGUUUUGCAGCACAGCAUUUUUAGCCACAUUUGGGUUCUAUAAAAAUUUUCUCUUAUUCACAUAAAUAUUGCUAAUGCACCACAGGAAAACUGCGUGAUGUUUCAGCCUUUCAGUGCUAGUUGUGUUUGCAACAAGGGUCGCAACCCUAAAAAAAAGUCAUACGUACAAUGACCUUAAAACUUGCUGACUUCAGUGGCGUUACUUUGCAUGUGUAAAUGAACGCGUUAUUUUUCUUCUCCAUUAUUCACUGUAUGCAUGUUCAGAAUAAUUAGAGACAAAUAUCCUAAAGCUCUCAGGCAAUGUUUGAGUUCAAACGCCAAAAAAUCUUUCCCGUUCCUUUUGCUCUCGUUGCAACUAUCUUUAGAUGAUCUAUGAGUUUUUUUUAAAUGAAUGUAAAGCUACAGAAAAGAAUGAGCUCGCUAGCAAAUAGGUAGUUUUUCAGUCUAAAAUCUGCACAAGAUGUAAACUUUACCAUGAAUAAAAGAACAAGUCAAAAAGCA